AGAGAGAGACAUGCGCGCAUAUCAAUAAGCGGAGGAAAAGAAACUAACAAGGAUUCCCUUAGUAACGGCGAGUGAAGCGGGAAGAGCUCAAAUUUGAAAUCUUCAAGGUUUUACCUUGACGAAUUGUAGUUUAAAGAAGUGUUUUCUGCUGAAGCUUUUGGUAAAAGUUCUUUGGAAUAGGACAUCAUAGAGGGUGAGAAUCCCGUAUUUGACCAUUAUUUCCAGCUUUGUGAUACACUUUCAAAGAGUCGGAUUGUUCGGGAAUGCAGUCCAAAAUAGGGUGGUAAAUUUCAUCUAAAGCUAAAUAUUGGCGAGAGACCGAUAGCGAACAAGUACCGUGAGGGAAAGAUGAAAAGAACUUUGAAAAGAGAGUUAAACAGUACGUGAAAUUGUCAAAAGGGAAGCGUUUGACACCAGUGUUGUUUUCUCGAAAAUCAAUUAAAAAUGGCUCGAUUUUGUAUUGUUGAGACCUUAAAAGCUCACUGUACAUUUUUCGUGUCUUUUUUAAUGCACUUUUCGUUUAACAAGUCAACAUCAGUUUCUUUUGUUGUAAAAGGGUCAUUGGAAGGUGGCUUUCUUUUCGGAGAAAGUGUUUAUAGCCUUUGGCCUCUGCAAUCGAAGAGACUGAGGUCUGCAGCGUAGACUCUUCGGGGUUAGAUACAUUUGUGCUAAGUUAUAGCUUUUUAUAGACAACUUGUUGACUAUAAUUAGUCUUGUAACUUACUCGCUUAUGCUAUUUUACCUACGCUUAGGAUGUUGAAGAUGUAGCACAUCAU
rnacentral:rRNA from 1 species